CGUUAUGGCGGGUUGUGUAGGAGCACCUUAGGGUGCGCCGGGCUCCGUUUACCCCGGUCCGCCAAUCCUAUGCAACUCGCCACCCUU
rfam:Pseudomonas sp. GM78 PMI35_contig76.76, whole genome shotgun sequence.